ensembl:lincRNA
GCCUGACCACCAGGCUGUUCUGUUUCAGCAGUCUGAUUCCUGUAUGAUGAUCACAAACAUCCCAUUGCAGUUCACUGUUGGGGGCUUCAAGAUGAUUUUCCAACAAGCUUUCCAGUGUAAUAUCCAUGUGUAAACGAGAACCAGUUAUUUUAUGCUGUCUGCCUGCCAGUGGGGAUACUGCCAGUCUGGUCAGGCUGAAGGAGAGAGCAGAGCAGUGGUUGUACCUGAUCAAGCGCACUAGGACAGGUCACCUGGUACCCACAGCACCUCACUGGACUCUUUGGGUGGAAAUUAACAAAGAGAAUGAUCAACUGAACCUUACUGAAGGAAUCAAGACGGACAGAAGGAAGCCUUCUGGGGUAACCAUGUGUCCCAAUUCUCUCAACAAGGUGUCAAGUCUGAAGAACCACACACAAGGCUGUGGAGCCAUGGCUCCUGCAACUCUGCUUCUUUGCUGAUGUGGAUCUAGUGAUGGAGUAGCAGGCUGUCUAUUCACACCCCCCCUGACGGAUACACACAUUCCAGAGAUCAUUUGGAGAGUAAGCAUCGAUGAGGAAAUCAUUAACAGGCCUGGGACCUUCUGGGGUGGACUGUGGGGGAUCUUCCAGUCCAUCUUUUAAGUUCACUUAGAACCAGUUCUUCAGCUUCUGUGAUGAAGGGGCCACCCAGCCUUGUAUGGACUGGGAUGCUUCAUCCCUGAGAAGAAGAUGCCUUCAUGUCUUGGUGAGGAAAGAAAAGAGGCAUUGAUGACUAAGGAACCCCAGUCCAUGAGAUUCAAGCUCUCAACUCUAUCGCUGUUAUCUGAUUUCUGCUUUGCCAGCAUCUUCCAUGAAGCCUUGGUAACAGUGUCUGCUCACAUACCAUAGAGGGGCUAACUCCUACAAAAGGGAAAGACAUAUUUGUCCCUGAAAGCAGGGAGUACAGGAUGCAAGAAGCUGUGGCGUGUCCCUACCCUGCUGUCCCUGAUGGACACAAUCUGUUGUGAAAGUGAGAUGACACAGCUUGCCCAAAGGAGCAUUUUACUAAAACUCAAACCUGUGGCAUAACAUUCUAUUCUCUGAGUAUGCUCAUGUAGUAGAUCCACUUAUGGUCUGGAAGCCAGAAUGCAAAGGCAUCUUACAGAGGAGGGAAGAAUGAGAGGCUGAGGUUUCCCCAGAGAAAGCAAAGCAGUGACUGAUCAUGGAGUCUGGCUGGAACCUCAGCCCCACACCAUGGGUACCAAGGGCGCCUGCCCCUUUAUUCAGGGGCAUCACAAGAGACUCUUAGCCUGGACUUGGGCUCCUGAAAGUGUUCAUUAUUUUAUCCUCUGAGACUUUCUGUAAGGGAAAGAGAGGUACAGGCACUAAAAGGGGAGGACAGGAAGGUGGAAUUAGGAAGAAAGCGAUGUCAAGGUAUAAUGCACUGUGAUGGUUCCUUCUGAGUCUAUGGGACUCUGGCCACUGUGGAAAACCAUGUCAGUGCCUCAAAAAGUGGAUCAGCAUUUCUACAGGAUCCCACAGGCCACAUCUGGGUCUUCAUCUUCCAAAGCAGGAAGGAGGGACUCAAUCUAUAUACCUAAGUUCCCAGAAGUGUGGUUCCUAGGAGUACCAUGGUAGAUGCAACCCACUGGUCCAGCAGACAACAGCACAGUGUAAGUGAGAUGUCAUUGGUAUAUAUGGUGGAAUAUUAUUCAACCAUAAAGAUCCCUGGUGGAUAGAUGAAAUAUAAAAAUGUCAUCAUGCUAAAUGAUGAAGCCAGACAGAAAGACAGAUUCUCUCUCUCUCUCUCUCUCUCUCUCUCUCUCUCUCUCUCUCUCUCUCACACACACACACACACACACACACCCCCACCCCCCGCGCGCACGCACACAA